AUGUUAACGUAUGUAAAACAGUUGUCAAUUGAUGCAAAAAAGGUACAUAAAAACCUAGCUUAAACAAACUUAGGGCAUGGAAGCAACAUGACCCACCACCAGGAAAAUAGUCAAGUCAGAAGUACUAUGCGUGCUAAGAACUUUACGGAAGAAAUUAGCUCCAUAAAGUAACAUUCAAAAAUGUUUGGGAAAGUGUCAAAAGAUUAUGGAACGAAAUCAAAAAUAUUUGGGAAAGUGUCAAAAGAUUAUGGGACGAAAUCAAAAAUAUUUGGGAAAGUGUCAAAAGAUUAUGGGACGAAAUCAAAAAUAUUUGGGUAAGUGUCAAAAGAUUAUGGGACGAAAUCAAAAAUAUUUGGGAAAGUGUCAAAAGAUUAUGGGACGAAAUCAAAAAUAUUUGGGAAAGUGUCAAAAGAUUAUGGGACGAAAUCAAAAAUAUUUGGGAAAGUGUCAAAAGAUUAUGGGAAUGUGUCAAAAAAUUGCGGGAAACCCUGUAUAUAACAUAGCCAGGGCAAGGCUAUACGUUCUGUUGGGAUCUUGGCGCACUUGGUAUGAAUGAUGGAAGAGUUCGUCCGUAUACUCUUCAACCUAGUGCUAAGGUAUGCGGGUGGACCAUACAAGACUCGGGAGUGCCUACUUCGAAGACCGCUUCUACCUUAAAAGCGGUCGGUAAGAAUUCAAUGUUUAGAUGUUGUCAUACUCCGAUACGCCAACAAAAGGUUGAGGAAGGAACAAGCAUCUGGUAAAAAAACCUUAGGCUGUAGAUUAAUGUGGCCAGAUAGAGAACCACAUUUUGGAAGUCGUCCAAAACUUCAGCUAUCGCGAAACUAACGUCAGCACUGAGGCCAGUAUUCCCGCAAGAAUACUUGAAGUCAACCUACCUGAAGUACUCCCUGAAUCUUCCUGGAGACAUCCUUCAAGACCUGAAGUUUAAUUUAUCUCACCGCACGGAAGGGCCUGCAUACGCGAAAGACGAAUGGUGCCAGGAAGUGUCGUUUUAUUUUCUCAACCUACCCAAACACUCCGACACGGAGUAAACUCGUGCCCGGUUUCGGUGGAAGUGGUAGUGCACGUGGCAAACAUAAAUCCUAUUCCCUUUUCCGGGGUUUUGCACCAACAGCAGCUUUUGUCUAGUGUACGUAUGUGCCAUUGAAUCGGUGAGUACGAGUUUUCUUCGGUGUGUUUUCUUUAUUUUUUCUCUAAAAUCUCGGCCACUUUUUGGCACGGGUUUUCAGUUUCAGGUUCCGCGCCGAACAGGAUUGGUUUGUGGAAAGUUCUUUCCCGACAGCAGAUCACCCAACCAAAAAUGGGAACCAGCUCGAGUUUCGCGCAAUAAUCGCCACCACAGUGCGCGCGCGUAAUAACCCAA